UACGUAGGGUGCGAGCGUUGUCCGGAAUUAUUGGGCGUAAAGAGCUCGUAGGCGGUUUGUCGCGUCGACUGUGAAAACCUACAGCUUAACUGUGGGCUUGCAGUCGAUACGGGCAGACUUGAGUUCGGUAGGGGAGACUGGAAUUCCUGGUGUAGCGGUGAAAUGCGCAGAUAUCAGGAGGAACACCGGUGGCGAAGGCGGGUCUCUGGGCCGAUACUGACGCUGAGGAGCGAAAGCGUGGGGAACGAACAGG
rnacentral:rRNA from 1 species